rnacentral:rRNA from 1 species
UGGGGAAUAUUGCACAAUAGGCGAAAGCCUGAUGCAGCAACGCCGCGUGAGUGAUGAAGGCCUUCGGGUUGUAAAGCUCUGUCUUUUGGGACGAUAAUGACGGUACCAAAGGAGGAAGCCACGGCUAACUACGUGCCAGCAGCCGCGGUAAUACGUCGGUGGCAAGCGUUGUCCGGAUUUACUGGGCGUAAAGGAUGCGUAGGCGGAUUUUUGAGUGAGAUGUGAAAUACCCAGGCUUAACUUGGGUGCUGCAUUUCAAACUGGGGAACUAGGGUGCGGGAGAGGAGAAUGGAAUUCCUAGUGUAGCGGUGAAAUGCGUAGGGAUUAGGAAGAACACCAGUGGCGAAGGCGAUUCUCUGGCCCGUAACUGAC